rnacentral:rRNA from 1 species
AGUAAAAGUCGUAACAAGGUUUCCGUAGGUGAACCUGCGGAAGGAUCAUUAAAGAGUAAGGGUGCUCAGCGCCCGACCUCCAACCCUUUGUUGUUAAAACUACCUUGUUGCUUUGGCGGGACCGCUCGGUCUCGAGCCGCUGGGGAUUCGUCCCAGGCGAGCGCCCGCCAGAGUUAAACCAAACUCUUGUUAUUUAACCGGUCGUCUGAGUUAAAAUUUUGAAUAAAUCAAAACUUUCAACAACGGAUCUCUUGGUUCUCGCAUCGAUGAAGAACGCAGCGAAAUGCGAUAAGUAAUGUGAAUUGCAGAAUUCAGUGAAUCAUCGAAUCUUUGAACGCACAUUGCGCCCCUUGGUAUUCCGAGGGGCAUGCCUGUUCGAGCGUCAUUACACCACUCAAGCUAUGCUUGGUAUUGGGCGUCGUCCUUAGUUGGGCGCGCCUUAAAGACCUCGGCGAGGCCACUCCGGCUUUAGGCGUAGUAGAAUUUAUUCGAACGUCUGUCAAAGGAGAGGAACUCUGCCGACGGAAACCUUUAUUUUUCUAGGUUGACCUCGGAUCAGGUAGGGAUACCCGCUGAACUUAAGCAUAUCAAUAAGCGGAGGAAAAGAAACCAACAGGGAUUGCCCCAGUAACG